UUAUGUCAUUCUCUUUUAAAACAAAGGGCAAAAUAAAAAGAUCAUAAACCUGAUCCCUUGAAUCAUUGUGUUGUUUGUCUUACAAUAGUUUGGAGAAACAUAUUUAAUUAUACAAAGAAAAAUCAUCAGCUAAAUUUCUUCGAUCUUCAUGCUAAUCUAAAGGAAGCUCUCUCCUCUGUUUCUCUCACCUGCGAUUAUGUUUUCGAUGGGCAUGUUCAUCUUCUUGUUUAUUUCCGGAGUUCCAAUGGCCAUUGGAUCGAUCCGCCGUUCACAGGCAAGUGAUUUGGUUUCUCCAAUAGGCGGUGGCCUGUUUGAAUUCUCCUCCACUCGAUCUCUCGAGAGGAUCCGUUCGAGAUCUAUGUUGUUUUUGCUUUCUCCUUUCCAGAUUUAAGUCCGGCGUCGAUGUAAUAAGUCCGGCAUCGAGUCGUCAAGCCGCUGGAUCAUCGAGUUACUGUAGACGAUUGCAAAAACGUAUUUGUUUAUUAUCAGCCGAAGCGACCGAAGCUUGACGACGAGGCUUAGUUAACUCUGAUUCCUUUUCAAAGUAGCGAUUUUCAGGGUUUCUCGCUGAGCAGGAGGAGCAAGAGCUGGAGAAGUAUGCUUAGAGAGCAGGAGGAGUAUGCUUAGAGAACAUGAUAAGUUCGAUUUGUUUUUGGAUUUGUUCAGAUCUUUGUCAUAGUUGCAUUUCCAGAUGAUGGAGCCUGGAAGCGUUUCCACAAGCUCUUGGAUCACUACCCCACGGUUGUGUGUAUAAAAGUUCGUGAAGGAGAUAAGAGAAUAGUCAGGCUGAAGGAAGGUAACCCCUCUGGUUGUCACGUUGUUAUCGUUGAUGAUCUUGUGCAGUCUGGGGGUACACUCAUUGAAUGCCAUUGGAACCCUCAUGAACAAUCUCCCUGCAUUUUGCAUCUACCUAUAGCAAACUUCAAUGACUUCUUAAACACACAAGUGUUAAGAUAAAAACUAAGGAGAGGCUCUACGUCAAACUUGAUUAAGUCUUUCAUGCUAACUUGUGUUAACAUUCCAAGUUCAGACUAGUUUUGAUCGAGAAUACUUGUUAUUUCUUUAAUCUGCAGAUGAUGUUUUAUGCAAAUCUAGUCUGAAAUUGUCAAGAGAAUUGGCGGUUUCAUUUGUCUUAACUGUUUCACUUUCUUUUUUGUCACACAAAAAGUAUUGGCAGCUCAUGGAGCCACGAAGGUGAGUGCUUAUGUAACUCACGGUGUCUUCCCAAAGAGCUCGUGGGAGCGUUUCACCCACAAAGAUUACAUGAACUAACUUUCUCAGAUUCAAAUCACAUUUUUUGUGAGAAUUACAUUUUUAAGAUUUGAGAAAACUUGCCGUUUUCUGUGAUGAAUGCAGAUGGAUUUCCAUUGAUCUCUUUAAGAUCAGUGCCAAAUGCAUGAGUUUUCAUGUUAGAAUUUUUGUUAUGUCUGCAAUUUGUGAGUUUUGGUUGACUUGGGAUUUGUGCUUCUUUCAAUGGCUGAUUAAUGUGUUACAUGGUAUCGUUAUUGAUACUCUUUAGUUUAUUGGAUUUUUUAAUCAAAUUGCUUAUAUCCUUGUAUUGAAUUGAAAAACUUGAUUGCAGGAGCUAUGAUUUCAAGCAUAUUCAAGAAAGAAGAAUAUAUGGGUUCUCAUAUAUUAUGAACAGUGGAGAAAACACGUUUCAUCAAGCUUCAUAAUUCUCUUAGUGUUGGUGAAUUACAAGGCCAAACCGGCGACUGCUGCAAUGGAAAAUAAACAAAAAGUCUUUGUUUUUUUUGGAAUUGCACAUAGACGGUUAGCACAAAGGUGGCUGGUUCCGGUGUUAUCACAGCGGGUUUUGAGUUAAAGCCUCCUCCAUAUCCUCUAUGAUGCAGUUUUUUCGGUGGUGUGAUAUUCUUUGCAUGUGUGCAGAAGCUACAGACUUUGGUUAGAUUUUUGGUCUCUCCGUUGUUAUAUACUUCAGAAUGGUAUGACACCAUUGAAAAAGAAGUGACAAAGAUCGGAAGUCCAAGGUCCAAGAGGGUGCAGGGGAAGAUGUAAAAUCAGAACAAGGAAAAGAGAAAGCAGCUGAAGAGAAAGGAGUGCCAGAUUUCUGGCUUAUUGCAUUGAAGAACAAUGAAAUUACUGCUCAGGAGAUAACUGAGCGAGAUGAAGGGGCUCCCAAGUAUCUUAAAGAUAUCAAGUGGGAGUAGGGUUGAAAAACCAAAAGGUUUCAAGCUUGAGUUUUCUUUUGAUCAGAACCCUUACUUCAAGAACACUGUCUUGACCAAGACAUAUCCUGGAAAGUGUUUGACACAAAAGAUUCUUAAAAAAGAAGCCAAAGAAAGGAUCCAAAAACACUAAGCCGAUCACUAAGACUGAGGACUGUGAGAGCUUCUUCAACUUUUUCACUCCACCCCAAGUUCCUGACGAUGAUGAGGAUCUUGAUGAUGAAAUGGCUGAUGAACUCCAAGGCCAAAUGGAACACAACUAUGAUAUCGGGUUUAUACCUUUUUAUUUCAUCUUCUGUUCUCUUCAUUUAAUUCCUCAGUCAAAAGAUAUGAAUCUACUGUUUAUCCCAUCUCGCACUGUGUCAUGGUUCAAUGGUGAAGCUGUUGAGGCAGAUGACCUUGAUAUGGAAGACCACGAUGAUGAGAUUGACGAGGAUGAUGACAAGGAGGAAUAAACUGAUCAAGGAAAGAAGAACAAAAGGAGGGUAAUUACUGUUUAUCCAAACUUGAGGUUCAUGUAGACACCUGGAGGUCUCUCUCGGGGUUGGAUCGAGAGCAACUGUGUUGAAUCACCUACGACAUCUGCCCACCCAUAAUGUGGCUCAGCCCUUCGCCAAAAACAUGAUCCAAAGAUAUAUUAAUAAAGCACAAAAUUAGAUAAUAUGUUUAGAUUUAAGCUCUCUCUCUUACUCAUAGGACGUUUCUUCAUCCACCACUAUGUCCCAGCUUUCUCCCGUUGUACUCUUUUGUAUUUAUGAACCUUUCUGCAAUCACAUACAUAAUAAUAUUAGACCUCUGUUGUUUCAACUGCUCA